UACGUAGGGUGCGAGCGUUAAUCGGAAUUACUGGGCGUAAAGUGUGCGCAGGCGAUCGUUCAAGUCGAGUGUGAAAGCCCCCGGCUCAACUGGGGGAGGGUCAUUCGAUACUGAUCGACUCGAAGGCAGGAGAGGGUAGUGGAAUUCCCCGGUGUAGUGGUGAAAUGCGUAGAUAUCGGGAGGAACACCAGUGGCGAAGGCGACUACCUGGCCCUGUUCUUGACGCUGAGGCGCGAAAGCUAGGGGAGCAAACGGGAGUUAGAAACCCGG
rnacentral:rRNA from 1 species